GCUGCUACUGUCGGUAAAUAAAAGACCGUUGGCUUUACGACGCAGCAUGCACCUUCACUGGAUCCUCCAUUAAGGUUCAACUGAACGAGCAAUGAGACCUCUGCUUUUAGUCGUUGCUGUAGCCUUGUGUGGCCUGCUGGUGUCAGGCGAUGAGCUACCAGCUACAGGUAAAUCAAGUGGAAACCCUAAAGAUUUUAUGGACAAACUUGAAAGGCAUGACACCGAAUUGCCCACUGAUUGGUUCG